rnacentral:rRNA from 1 species
AACGAACGCUGGCGGCAUGCCUAACACAUGCAAGUCGAACGAGACCUUCGGGUCUAGUGGCGCACGGGUGCGUAACGCGUGGGAACCUGCCCUUAGGUUCGGAAUAACUCCCCGAAAGGGGUGCUAAUACCGGAUAAUGUCUUCGGACCAAAGAUUUAUCGCCUUUGGAUGGGCCCGCGUUGGAUUAGCUAGUUGGUAGGGUAAAAGCCUACCAAGGCGACGAUCCAUAGCUGGUCUGAGAGGAUGAUCAGCCACACUGGGACUGAGACACGGCCCAGACUCCUACGGGAGGCAGCAGUGGCGAAUAUUGGACAAUGGGCGAAGGCCUGAUCCAGCAAUGCCGCGUGAGUGAUGAAGGCCUUAGGGUUGUAAAGCUCUUUUACCCGGGAUGAUAAUGACAGUACCGGGAGAAUAAGCUCCGGCUAACUCCGUG